UACGCAAAUAUCUAUAUUAGAGAUAUUUUUUAUUUUUUGUACAUACGUAUUUGUCAUACUCUUAAAUAUAUUACAUAUUUUAGGUUUGCUAAACUGGUUAUUUAAAAUAUUCAAAUGGAUAGAUGGCCGUUUAGAGAAACUCUAUACAGAGAGAAUCCAGCAGCGUCCUCUAAAUUUAGAUGACCGUUUAGAGGACGCUGCUGGAGAGCGUAGAGAACCGUUUGUUCCUCUAUAUUUAGAGUAUAGGAGGCUUUAGGGGCUCUUGCUGGAGCCAGCCUUAGACUCUCUCCAGCAACGAACUGUAAAACAACAUGUACUCUAAAUUUAGAGGAUAUUGUGCUCCUUUAUCCGUCCAAUAAGGAACCCUAAAAGGCACUCUAAAAUUUAGAGUCUCUGUUUGAGCCGCUACAUGUAGAGAAACAUUGUUCGUCCUCUAUCCCGCAACCAGAGCGCUACGACCUACACCUACGAACAACAUGCAUGGUCCUCGCCUGCAACGGCUCGACGAAGCUUGACCGCUGAGGACGACCACCAGAGCGGUAGGCGCUCUGCUGCGGUGGCGCAGAGUCGUUUGGCGAUGGCGGCGCCGUGGAGAAGCUCGGCGACAGCUCUGUGGAUCUAAGAUGGGGAGGACUUCUAUCCACUGGCGCGGUGUCGCUCGGCUAUGGACGCGGAGUCACUUGUCGGCGGUGUGGAGCUGGGUAGUGGUGCCCUGGAUCUUUGCUCGACGGUGUGGAGGAGCUGGCGCGGUGCCGCUUGGAUGUGGACACGGAGUCGCUCGUCAAAGUCCCUGGACGAGUGGACGAGUGUUGUACGAAGAACAAAAAUCCAAUUUCCCAUUCGAAUGUGUGAAGCUGCAGCAGUCCAAACAUCCGACUUUAAUCCGAAGCGAACAGCCCAGAGCAGUAUAGAAUGCAAGAGAAACAGCAGAUACAGAGAAGGAAUGUAGUACCUUCACAGCUCGCCAUGGUAUAUGAGCAGCAGCAGAAUGUUUAUGGAAUUGGAGGGGGGGGACGCUGCCUCUGUCACCAGCAGAAUAAGUAAUCUAUUUCUAUAUUAAUCAUGAACUGGUCUAUUUAUCUUAAGCACUAUAGGCACAGGUUAAUCCAUUAAUAAACCGCCAUACUCUAAACUAUCAUGUAGUGAUAUGUUUAUCUUCUGAAAAAGCAUCCAAUUUGAUUGAAUCAAUACUCUGCAAAACUUCACUGUGGGUGCAAAAGGAUGCAGCUCAUCUGUAUAACUGUAUUAUAUAUUUAUAUUUUACAUUGGCUUGCCUCUUUAGAGUUUAUCUUUAAUUAUUUAUUCCUUCUAAAUUUUUAGACAAAUAAUUUCCAGAUAUCUUCCUACAUUAGGAUCCAAACAAGAACUAAUAGUGUACUCCUAGUUCUGACAAAGCCCAUUGAUCAUGUACAAGUUCUCAUUUCUGUGCUAUACUACUGAAGACCUUUGAAGUGGUUUUAGUUUCUACUUUAUAGAGUAUCAAAAGUCAAAACAAUUGGAUCCCAGAUCAAUAUUAUUGCAUGGUAUGUACACAGUACACCUAUAAUUUAUCAUACACACAUUCGGUAACUGUUUGCCAAUUUCAUCUCAGAUAUCUCUUUCAUCAAUGGAGGUGGGCAUAGUACAUUAGUACCAGACAAUGCCAUAAAAAGUAUAUCAAACCUCAAUAUUCUAACAACUGGUGAGGUGGACCUAUUACCAGUCCACUGGUUUCAGAUGCCAGUGAAUUUGAGCCCCAGGGAUAGAGCAGCCAGGAUCCUCAAGCACAAAAAGAAAAGGCAAGAAAGUUUGAUAAGACCAUAAGGUAUGCAACAAGAAGGCCCUGGAUCAAGGUCGCUUCGCCAAAAUAUCAGAAUAGAUCUUAAAGGGGAUCAGAUGUCCUCACCACCAGAUCUACCCAAUAGUAGCUACGGUACCAUUCCAUAUGGUAUUUCAUUUAAGAAGAAGACCGGGGAUUUUUUUACCUGAAGAGUGUCAUUCAGACCACCUAACCAUCUCAACUAGAAUCCCUUUCGCACCAGAAGCUCAUAGUGAACAGUUUUUUUUGGCAGAUUGCUUAUUUCAUUAUCUUGGUACUACAAUACUACACUUCUGUUUUGUAAGUUCACUUGAAAUAUUCUAUUGUUAGAGCAUGUUCUGAUAACAAAAGGUAAGGUAAAAUGUAUAGGGAAGUACUAUAAGAGAAAUUAUAAAAGAUAAUUCCAACA